UUGGCUUUCAGUACUUCUAUUUGGUAUACCUUGAUGUCUUGGAUGAAGAAGUACAGGGAAUGCUCAUUGGAUCUAGAGAUUAUUCAUUACUCUGGAAAGAAAGAAAGUCUAAAAGAUUUUGAGAGAAACAGGCUUAAAUUAGCAUAAUUAUACUUAAGAGAUACAAGAGCACUUUUUUUCCCCAUUUUGAAACAGAAAUCACAUAGUUAUAGGAUAAGCUUAGAGUGGCAUGGUGGCCUAGUGGUGAAGACACUCACCUCCACUUGGAAGGUUGAAUGUUAAUUCCUAAGUAACAGAUGUUUCUCUCCUAGGGCACAAAGAAAAAAUAUCUACUGCAAACUCUGCAUGGCAUCAAGAAGGGCAUCCGGCCAGUAAACACUCAGCUCCAUCCAAUCUCCUGACUCUAUCCCGAAAUAAGAUUCUUCCUUGAAUGUCCAUUUCUGGGUAGUACAUUUUAAGAAAUAGAGAAUAAAAAGAGACUGGAGUAGCUGGGGACAUUUAGUUUUGUGUAAAGAGUGGAGGUAAGAAAUAUAACACUCUUUAACUACCUGAAUUAAAUCAGACAGAAGAAAGUGAAGACUUGUUAGAAUGAUAACAAGGUGCAGGAUACAGAACAAGGGAUUUAACCCGACUAGAAAGCAAUUCCAACACACAACAAAGAUGGGGUGGGAGCGCAGAAUGUACAGGGGAGAGAGAUGUAAUCUGUUAUUGGUCCAUCAGCCACCUCCAGAAUGAUAAUGGGUUCCCCUUCAUUGGAGUAGUGGCUUGAUUGGUCUGGCAUGUUCUAAUUUGAUCCUGUGUUAAGGAGGCAGUUGCAUGGUUCCCUCCAACAUCAGGUUUCUAUAACUCUGAUGUCUGAUACCAGUUAAAACUAUCCCAAAUUACAUGUAGGUCAUGUGUUAAAGACAAGUAAUGACAGAUUUGUAUGAAAUCAGAUUUUAUUGUAAACCAUUAUUUAGGUACAACACAUAUGCUUUCCAUUUUCAUAAAAUACCAACAGUAAAAUUAUGAUCUGGUGGGCCUUAUGGUUUCCUUUUGAAUGCUGUAGGACUGACAUUCAUUUUCAUUUUGAAUCCUUCAAAAAACAUUGUGUAUUAAUUAGCAAUGGCUGGAUCCAGUUCUUAUUCUCCCUCCUUCUACCUUGUGCUUUCUAAAAAGUUGUUUCAUGGGACAAUAAUGGAGGCAGCCGUGGAAAAGGGUAGAACUGGUAAAAUCACUGUUCUGACCCCUUCUUCCAGUGAGGAAGAUCUCCUGGCUUCCAAGUUUCAUUCUCUCAAGUUUUCCCAUUUAUGGACACAUCAAUCUGGAAUACCCCUUUAACUAAAAAAAGAAAAGAGAUUCAAGAUGUUUCUAUAUUUAAAGCCACCAUUUCCCCCUCAUUUACUGAACAUUAACAGUUUUGAUGCAUUGCAAGUCUCCUAUGAUCAAUGUGGCUGAAUCUGUGUGUUCGCCAUUAUCGCUCUUGUCAUAUGGAAGCUAAAAUCUGCAAUUUGCUAUGCACAAAAAGCACAAAGACCCAACUUGUAAAGAAGCAAAUGUAAGGCUGCACAUUCUGGCCCUGCCCUGUUCUUUUCCAGCUAGGCUUAAUGGAAAACCUAAGCACUUGCUUGUGAAAGAAUGGCUCUGGGACAUUUUGCAUUGUUUUAGUUUGGUUCACAAUUCAACGAGUUUGAGGUCUUUUCCCUGAAGAGAAACACCAGCAACAUUUGUACAGGACAUUUUACUUUUUACUUAAGAGUAGUCGGGGAGACAUUAAAACACUGAAGUCAAAAAAAUGAAGGCUGCAUUAAUGACCAUAGGGUUUCCAAAACAAUUCUGUUAGAUAUCAGAAGUCCUGAUUUCAUGAGGAAUGCUAAUCUUUUGUUAAGAUUAAUCUCAUUUUAUUUUUGUUUCUUAGUCAUUUGGAAACGGGAAGGCUACCAUUUUGCUCCAGCAAAUUCAACAUUCUAUUACAAAUUUCUAAGUGUAGAAAGACCUGAAUCUCAAACUCAUUAGAAAAAGAUCAGCAUUAUUUUACAAAAAAGCACUGACAGAAUCAUACUUAAGAAGAACAUUAUUCCUUCUUUUGAGCCUUAAAUCAGGCUGCUGGACAAUGCCAUUCAACACAAAACAGUAAAUCUGAACUCUGUUUAACGGUGGACUAUUUAAACACAUUUAAGGCUUUAGGUUUAGUGUUUUAGAACCCCCCCCUCCCUCGGCAGCAACACACCUAUCCCAAAAGUAGUCUGUACACAAUAGACGCCACUGGAUAAAAUGAAGAAAGUUUUUGCAUUUUGCAUACUGUUAAAAUUCAUAAGGCAAACAGAAAAUAACAGGUGUUUGGCAUUGUUUGUUUCAUUAUCUCUUAAAAAAAAUACAUUUUUCUGAGUUUUCAUUCUGCUGAACAAUUAAGAGGACCAUGCUACUAUCUCUUUAAUGAAUUGGUACGAACAAAACCUGCUUUAAAAUAUCAUGGUUGAUAAACAGUGAUUUACAGUAUUAGAAUUAUAUAGUAAAAACAUAAAAAACAGUAUGGUUGGAAGCAAUAUUAAUCAUGGGCACUGCCCUAUCGCUUUAUAGGAGCUUCUUUUAGUGUUAUACUUAAUAAAUAAUUGGGUUUUCUUUUCAUCUAAACACAAAAAAGGAAUGUCCUGGAAAUAUACUAUAGAAUAAGACAACACUUUCUAGUCUGUCCUUCUCUAAGACAGGACCUUAAGAACAUCCCCUAAGAGAAGUAAGCACUCUUCACCUUAAAAUUACCACCAGUCCAAAAAGAAAAGGGUGGUGGUAGUAGAGAAAACCCCCACUCAAAACAGCAGAAUCCACUUUUGCAUCCUAAGCCCAAUAAUUUCUCUGAAAGCUAGGAUCAGCUUUAACUUGUUCUCUGCUAAAUAAAGUAUUCAUAGCCAAAGUAUACAAAAUGCCUUGGAAAAGAUCUGAGCUCCUAUCAAUGAAUAUGUUUAAGGCUCAAAAUAUAACCUCUCUCUCUUUCUCUGUUUUAUUAUUAGAUUUUUUUUCUCCUGACAUCUCUUGCUGUUUGAAAUGAGCAUGGAAACCAGCCAAACAAUCAAUGGGGGCUGGCCCCUGGAGGCUCAUGCGGCACUUCUGUAAUUUGGUUAUCUGCCCCCAGUCAGGACUUGCCACCCUGCAACCUACAAAGGAUUAGCUAUCUUGCUCCUUACAGUAUGCUGCAAAAAUCUGGAUACUGGAAACAUACUGAUUCAAAGUUUGUCAAUCCUCCUGUUAUUUCCGGAGUGUCUCUGAGGAACCACAGUGAAGUGAUGGUAUUCUGUGCCUCUUCUGAAGGCUCUCCUCCAUCUAAGCCACCGUGGUGACAAGAAUUUGUGAACACAUGUUGAGAAGAGAUUCUUGCAUAUUUUCCAUAGUGCAACUGAACAGGUAAGUGUUUCCAAUGGUCUGUGUUCCCUUUGAUUCACAGUCUUGAGGCAACAAGCAUCCUAUGGCCAAG